GAUGAACGCUAGCGGCAGGCUUAAUACAUGCAAGUCGAGGGGCAGCACAGAUAGCAAUAUUGGGUGGCGACCGGCAAACGGGUGCGGAACACGUACACAACCUUCCUUUUAGUGUGGGAUAGCCCAGAGAAAUUUGGAUUAAUACCACAUAGUAUAUUGGAGUGGCAUCACUUUGAUAUUAAAGAUUUAUCGCUAAAAGAUGGGUGUGCGUAUGAUUAGGUAGUUGGUAAAGGUAACGGCUCACCAAGCCUUCGAUCAUUAACUGGUGUGAGAGCACGACCAGUCACACGGGCACUGAGACACGGGCCCGACUCCUACGGGAGGCAGCAGUAAGGAAUAUUGGUCAAUGGACGGAAGUCUGAACCAGCCAUGCCGCGUGAAGGAUGACGGCCCUCUGGGUUGUAAACUUCUUUUAUGUGGGACGAAAAAGGGCCAUUUUUGGUCAACUGACGGUACCAUAGGAAUAAGCACCGGCUAACUCCGUGCCAGCAGCCGCGGUAA
rnacentral:rRNA from 1 species